rnacentral:rRNA from 1 species
AUUGAACGCUGGCGGCAUGCUUUACACAUGCAAGUCGAGCGGUAACAGGCCGCAAGGUGCUGACGAGUGGCGAACGGGUGAGUAAUGCAUCCGAACGUGCCCAGUCGUGGGGGAUAACUACUCGAAAGAGUAGCUAAUACCGCAUACGAUCUAUGGAUGAAAGCGGGGGACCGUAAGGCCUCGCGCGAUUGGAGCGGCCGAUGUCAGAUUAGGUAGUUGGUGGGGUAAAGGCUCACCAAGCCAACGAUCUGUAGCUGGUCUGAGAGGACGACCAGCCACACUGGGACUGAGACACGGCCCAGACUCCUACGGGAGGCAGCAGUGGGGAAUUUUGGACAAUGGGCGCAAGCCUGAUCCAGCAAUGCCGCGUGCAGGAAGAAGGCCUUCGGGUUGUAAACUGCUUUUGUACGGAACGAAACGGCUCUGGUUAAUACCCGGGGCUAAUGACGGUACCGUAAGAAUAAGCACCGGCUAACUACGUG